AGUGAAUAGAUACCCCGGUAGUCCUAGCCGUAAACGAUACUCGCUAGGUGUCGGCCACGGUGCGACCGUUGUCGGUGCCGUAGGGAAAGCCGUGAAGCGAGCCACCUGGGAAGUACGGCCGCAAGGCUGAAACUUAAAGGAAUUGGCGGGGGAGCACCACAACGGGUGGAGCUUGCGGUUUAAUUGGAUUCAACGCCGGAAAUCUUACCGGGACCGACAGCGAUAUGAAGGCCAGGCUGAAGACUUUGCCGGAUUAGCUGAGAGGUGGUGCAUGGCCGUCGUCAGUUCGUACUGUGAAAGCAUCCUGUUAAGUCAGGCAACGAGCGAGACCCACGCCCACAGUUGCCAGCGUACUCUCCGGAGUGACGGGUACACUGUGGGGACCGCCGCUGCUAAAGCGGAGGAAGGAAUGGGCAACGGUAGGUCAGUAUGCCCCGAAUAUCCCGGGCUACACGCGAGCUACAAUGGUUGGAACAAUGGGUAUCUACCCCGAAAGGGGUAUGGAAAUCUCCUAAAUCCAAUCUUAGUUCGGAUUGAGGGCUGCAACUCGCCCUC
rnacentral:rRNA from 1 species